rnacentral:rRNA from 1 species
AUUGAACGCUGGCGGCAUGCUUUACACAUGCAAGUCGAACGGCAGCGCGGGGCAACCUGGCGGCGAGUGGCGCACGGGUGAGUAAUAUAUCGGAACGUACCCAGAAGUGGGGGAUAACGUAGCGAAAGUUACGCUAAUACCGCAUACGAUCUACGGAUGAAAGUAGGGGACCGCAAGGCCUUAUGCUUUUGGAGCGGCCGAUAUCUGAUUAGCUAGUUGGUGAGGUAAAGGCUCACCAAGGCGACGAUCAGUAGCUGGUCUGAGAGGACGACCAGCCACACUGGAACUGAGACACGGUCCAGACUCCUACGGGAGGCAGCAGUGGGGAAUUUUGGACAAUGGGCGCAAGCCUGAUCCAGCAAUGCCGCGUGAGUGAAGAAGGCCUUCGGGUUGUAAAGCUCUUUUGUCAGGGAAGAAACGGUAGAGGCUAAUAUCCUUUGCUAAUGACGGUACCUGAAGAAUAAGCACCGGCUAACUACGUG